UUUUCAAUUCCCGGAAUCCCUCCUUUCCUUCUUUGUUCUCUCCUUCUUCCUUGUUAGGACACUUUCUUCUUAUUACGGGAUGGCUGGUUUCCCAGUUUUUCCCCGAAUCCCUCUUUUCCUUCUUAUUACGCGACAACUUCCUACUUUGCUAUUUUUUUUCGCUUUCAAUCCCCGAAAGCCCUCCUUUCCUUCUUAUUACCGGACAGGUUCCCACCUUCCUAUUUUUUUGUCAAUCACGGAAAUCCCUUCUUUCCAUCUUGAUCUUUAGGAAACAUGAGACCCACACUUCACUAUGUUCGCUAGAUGGCUUCUUGAUAUACCAAGGAGAUUAAAGAUGUAUGCAUAUUGGGUAGAUUGGAUUUGAGGGAGCAAGGUGGGACUAUUUAACAACUGAAUCUACAUUUGUUUCUUCAAAUAACACAACUAGUUCGGUUGGCUGUGCCAUUAUCUGUUGGACGUUAGGUUUGGGGAUUGAAUCCUCUCAUCGGCAUGUAUUUUUUGCUUCAAACAUGAUAGGUGGGCCAGAGCGCAUGGGCGGGCUCAGUUCACCCGGCUCGGACGAAUUAUACUCACCGACGACGGACGAAACGAGCAUUGACGGGUGAAACUAAUAACGAACGAAAAUUAGGGAGGAAGAAGCUUUAGUCCUUUUAUUUAUUUUUGAACACAACACAGACGCAAGCGCUCAUAUACACGCGCAUACACUCACUCCUAUGAACGCACACAUGCACAUCCUACCCCUAUGAGCACAUCCGAAAGACUGAGCCGGCAUAUCAUCUUGAAAUUCAUGAAGUGUUAAUCCUUUUAUUAAUAGAUAUAGAUAUAGAUUAUGAAAUGUAGUUUCAUAGUACAUAUAUAUUUGGUAUCGUUGAUGUUGAUACUUUUUAAUAUAAAUUUGGAUAAACUUUUUGCAACGUUUGACUUGACAUAAAUCUAAUACAUAAAGUAAAAAGAACUGGAGAGAGUAUCUUAUAUCCAUUGUGACCCUCUACCCACGAAUGUCGAUCCAACCUGCGUUGAAUACCAAGGUACGCCCAUUGUUUCUAAAUAUAAGCCUUUUUAGAGAUUCUAAUAGAAUCUUAUAUAUUUACUAAUUAGAGGCACCUUUCAAGCGUUUUAAUUAAGCCACACCAUCAUAAUCAAUUAAACCGUUGGAUUGUAAAAUUAAGUCCGAGAUAAGAAGAAAACUUGCAUAACACAGAUGGUUCCGGCCGUCCAAAAAGACAUAUGACACGGCCAAUGUUUCGAAAAAAAAUCCAUAUAUUACUUUAAAGCAAAUGAUAAAGUCCUUCCAUAAUUACUCUAUACUCCCUCAAUUCCUUUAUAUUAGGUGUAUUAGUUUUUUCAUUAAAUUUCACAAUGUAAGGUGCAUUUGCUCUAAUUCCUCGUAAUUUCCUUUUUAUCCCUCUAGAAAGAGGAAAGUAUCUCUAUCCUGAUUUCCUUUGUAUGUCCUUGUAUCAAAAGAAGAAAACUAUCUCUCUCUGGAUUGCAUGUAUCUCUUACUUUCUUGAACUCAAGGAUUUACCUGCCACUAACCAACAAAUUUGCCAAGGGUACUUUUGUCAUAAGACCUCUAUAAUUGUGCGCCUUGGUCACCAUGUUCAAAAUAAUACAUCUUAGAUAAAGAAACGGAGGGAGUAUAUAUGAUCUUAGAUGUAAAAAGAACUCUAUAAGAUCCAUGAGACAUCUUUUUUGACAUGCAGGAUUCGUGAAACUCUUCUGCCAUUAAAAAAGGAGUUGCAUCGCUCCUUAAAAAAAAGAGAAAACAUCUCCUCAGCUCAUGUGCAUUUUUAGGUAACCUUGGCUUCCGUGGUCUAUUCCAAAAAAAAGAAAAAAUCUGACACGUCCAAUUUUUGAAACGAAAUACAAAAGGUAUCCGCCCGUUCCUUUAGAAAGGAGAUAGUCUAGUUUCAAAAAAAGAAAAGAAAAAAGAAAGGAGAUAGUCUCCAUCUCAAAAAAGGCCCCUUCGGUUACAAAUAGCUAGUAGUGAAAGCCUUCUUGCCAAUUAGAAAAAAAGCAUCUCUCCCAAAAAAGAGAAAGCAUGUACAUUGGCUCCCGUACAUUUUUUAGGCAACCACGGCUCCUGUAUAUGGCCGGAUCGUUCAAGUCAUCAAAACUAAGUAGACCACUGAAUUGAAAAUUUAUAUCCGAUAAAAAGAAAUCUUGCCAAACAUCAAUGUCCCCAUCCAAACAUUGGCUUGUGACAAUUCCAACGUUGUAAAUAAACCCAUCCGUUCCUCAAACAGAAAAGAUAGCGUCCUUAAAAAAACAGUACCUGUAAUAGAAAAAAACCAUUUUUUAACAUCAUAAAAUUUAUUGGGAAUCCAACAAAGACAAACAUGCAUCAGUGGCAACAAUAACCCAUAUCCAGAUAUUCAUAUCAUUGUCUGGCAUUGCUAAUUUGUAACAAUUUAUGGAACUAGCAGUCACAUAGAUCCGCCAAUUUUUUUAUUUUUAUAUGUAAACUUUAGGCAUUGGUUUCUAGUGGGAGCAGUGUGGUGCGGACACCGAAAAAACAUCUCCCGUCACCGACCCAGCCAUGCGUAGACACCAUCGAGCGCAACCGCAAUGCCACCAGAAAGGCCAAACUAUCCAACACUCGUGCAUGCGCCUCUGUAGCAUUAGUUUCCCCCAUUCUCUAGUCUACAACACCACAUAUAAUAAAACUCUGCAACACGGCAAUGGUGUUACAAAAACGAGAAGAGUCCACACAUAUGAGACACACAUAGAGAAUGUGACCCAACACGUUAAAUAGAUAGUAACUGCGUCUCUUCCUUUCCAUGGAGUAUACAAAAUGUAAUUUAGACAAGGUUCUUUGUUAACGAUGGAUAGAUAUAGAAGUUUUGAUUCUUCUGUUAUGUCAUGCUCCAAAUUCAAGUAUAAAGAGAAAGACAAACUUCUAAAGAGCGAGCAAAACGAGGCCCAUCACCGGUAGGCUUGGGCCAAAGCAGAGCGAAGCGAGGCCCGUCGCUGCUGCUUGCCAGGUCGGCAAAGAAUGGGAGAAGGCUGUUCUCCAACUUGUCAUAGUAACAAGUUGCCAUUAUAGAAACCAACCACGGGCUGAUAAGCACGCUCUUGAUUUUUGCGCGUGGAUGUAGAGACAGUGCACAAUCAAUGGUGAAGAGGCUGCCAGCCAUGAUAUCAAAGAUAGUGGCAUACUCUGCUCCCUUGGGGAAGUUGGUAUAGUUUGUGGUGAAGAGGUGUUGGACAUUCGUUGGGACACAGGUGAUGAGUAACCGCAUCCCGCUACUGACCUAGACAUGUACCCUGGAGUUGUGGCCUGAAUCGGCAAGGAGUAUGAUGAGAGUUAUGGGCGUUGGCCAGGAAGGAAGGUAGCAUGUGCAAUAUUGGCCAGUCUGUGGGGAGCGUUGUUUGGUUCUUUGAUCUACUACUAUACCAAAGUAGAUGUACACAAGGACACGUAGCAGGAGAGUGGAGAUGAGCAGCUCUUGCGAGAAACUAAUUGACAAUAUUAUCACGAGGGUAGUGGGGGAUAUGCUACUGUCGUACUAAAUUGAUUUAUGCAUCCUGCGAUCGAAGAUGGCGAUGGCUUCAUUUAUAGAGAAGUUCCCUCGAUCUAAGUCCAUUGAUGUGAACGUUCUUUCGCAUUAUGAAGUGCGUGUUGACUAACCAAUAAUUAGCUAGCAACUAGAAUAUUAUAUUUGUAGCUCUAACAAAGGUAGUUAUAUGCUUGAGAAAAGUCUCUAAAUCAUAUUUAAUUAGCACUUGGUCAGUAGCCAAUCACUAUCCGAUUAGGAAAUACAAUAAUCUUUUUCACUUAUUUGGUGGUGGAUGUCCAUCUUGAGAUAUAUACUUAGCCGUAUCUAUUCUUUCUGAAACUAUGAAAAUUAGAAAUGUGCCAGUUAAUGAACCUUUAAAGCUACUAGUCAAACUAUGGUAUCUUUUUCAUGGAAGUUAAAAGUUGAAUUUAGGCAAGGAUCUUUGAUCAUGCUGGAUAUAAACGUAAAUGGUUUGCUUCCCACAAGCUAUCGGGACCAGCUACAUUAGUAGUGAUGGAAGCUGGUUUUGUUGAAGCUAUUAGGACCCAUCCAGUGCGGUCCAUAUUUAUUUACGUCGUUAUCGAUACUAUUAUCACUAUAGUGAUAUAUAUUUAUAUCCAUCAUGAUCAUAGGCUGGUAGCAAGCAAAGAAAGAAAUGACAAGUACUCCCUUCGGUUCUUUUUGGUCUACAUAUAAGUUUUGUCUGAAGUCAAUGUAUCUUUGCUUUGACCGAACUUCCAGAAAAAAGUAUAAACAUUCACGAAGCCAAAUCAAUACUUUAUGUUCAUUAUGAAAUAUAGUUUCAAAGUAUGUAUAUUUGGUAUUCUUGAUGUUGAUACUUUUUAAAAUAAAUAUGGUCAAACUUUGCAAUGUUUGACUUCACAUAAAUCUAAUAUGUAGAGUAAAAAGGACUAAAAGGAUUAUCUAAUGUCCAUUGUGACCCUCUACCCACGAUGUCGGUCCAAUGAAUACCAAUGUACGCCCAUUGUUCCUAAAUAUAAGGAUUUUUUGAAAUUAUAAUAAAAUGAACUAAAUACAAAGAAAAAUGAACGAAUCUACACUCUAAAAUACGUCUAUAUACAUCUGUAUUUAGUCCAUGUUGAAAUUUCUAAACAGACUUAUAUUUAAGAAAUGAGGGAGUGGGAAUAAUUAACUACUAGGGUCAAUAUGAAGGCCAAUCGAUUUGGGUGGGCAUAAAACCUGAACAGAAAAUCAAAAUAAUCUAGUAAUAUUGCACAAGUAUAUAACUUUUUUUAUAGAACUAGCAGUCACAUAGAUCCUCCAAUUUUUCUAUUUUUAUAUGUUAACUUUAGGCAUUGGUUUCUAGUGGGAGCAGUAUGGUACGCACACCCGAAAGAACAUCUCCCUUCACCGACCCAGCCAUGCGUAGACACCAUCGAGCGCAACCGCAAUGCCACUAGAAAGGCCUAACUAUCCCACACUCGUGCAUGUGCCUCUGUAGCAAUAGUUCCCCUUCUCUAGUCUACAACACCACAUAUAAUAAAACUCCGCAACAUGGCAAUGGUGUUACAAAAACGAGAAGAGCCCACACAUAUGAGACACACAUAGAGAAUGUGAGCCAACGUGUUAAAUAGACAGUAACUGUAGCUCUUCCUUUCCGUGGAGCUUACAAAAUGUAAUUUAGACAAGGUUCUUCGUUGACGAUGGAUAGAUAUAGAAUUUUUUAUUCUUCUAUUAUGUCACGCUCCAAAUUCAAGUAUAAAGAGAAAGGCAAACUUCUGAUGAGCGAGCAGAACGAGGCUCAUCACCGAUAGGCUUGGGUCAAAGUAGAGCAGAGCGAGUCCCGUCGCCGAUGCUUGCUAGGCGGGCAAAGAAUGGGAGAAGGCUGUUCUCCAACUUGUCACAGUAACAGGUCGCUAUUAUAGAAACCAACCGCAGGCUUAUAAGCAUGCUCUAGAUUUUUGCGCAUGGUCGUAAAGACAGCGCACCAUGAGUGGUGAAGAGGCUGCGAGCCAUGAUAUCAAAGAUGGUGGCGAACUCUGCUCCCUUGGGGAAGGCUGUAUAAUUUGUGGUGAAGAUUUGUCGGAUAUUCGCGGGGUCGCAGCUGAUGAGUAACCACAUCCCGCUCCCAACGGGGCCAUAUACCCUGAAGUUGUGGCCUGAAUCGGCAAGGAGUAUGGUGAGAUAGUCAUUAAAGUUGUGGGUGUUGGCCAGGAAGGAAGGUAACAUGUGCAAUAUUGGACAAUUUAUGGGAAGCGUUGUUGGGUUCUUUGAUCUACUACUAUACCUGAAGUAGAUGUACAUUGGGACACGUAGCAAGAGAGUGCAAAUGAGCAGCUCUUGCGAGAAACUACUUGACAUUAUUAUCACGAGGGUAGUGGGGGAUAUGCUACUGCCGUACUACUUCGAUUUAUGCAUCCUGCAAUUGAGAUGCCCAUGGCUUCAUUUAGAGACAAGUUCCCUCUAUCUAAGUCCAUUGAUGUGCAUGUUCUUUCGCAUUUUGAAGUGCGUGUUGACUAACCAAUAAUUAGCUAGCAACUAGAAGAUUAUAUUUGUAGCUCCAACAAAGGUAGUUAUAUGCUCGAGAAAAGUCUCCAAAUCGUACUUAAUUAGCAGUUGGUCAGUAGCCAAUCACUAUCCGACUAGGAAAUGCAAUAGUAUUUUUAAUUAUUUGGGUGCAGAUGUCGAUCCUGAGACAUAUACUUAGCCGUAUCUAUUCUUUCUGAAACUAUGAAAAAUUCAAAAUGUGCCAGUUAAUGAAUAUUUAAAGCUACUAGUCAAAAUAUGGUAUCUUUUUCAUGGAAGUUAAAAUUUGAAUUUAGGCAUGGAUCUUGGAUCACAAUGGGUAUAAACGUUGAUGGUUUUCUUCCCACAAGCUAUCAGGACCGGUCACAUUCGUAGUGAUUGAAGAUGGUUUUGUUGAAGUUAUUAGGACGCAUCCUGUGUGGUCCAUAUUUAUUUAUGUCGUUGUCGAUAUUAUUAUUACUAUAGUGAUAUAUAUAUAUAUAUAUAUAUAUAUAUAUAUAUAUAUAUAUAUAUAUAUAUAUUUAUAUCCAUCGUGAUCAUAGCCUGGUAGCAAGCAAAGAAUGAAAUGACAAGUACUCCCUCCGGUCCUUUUUAGUCCACAUAUAAGUUUUGUCCGAAGUCAAAAUAUCUUUACUUUGAUCGAACUUCCAGAAAAAAGUAUCAACAUUCACGAAGCCAAAUCAAUACUUUAGGUUCAUUCUGAAAUGUAGUUUCAUAGUAAAUACUUUUUUCUGGUAUUCUUGAUGUUGAUACUUUUCAUUAUAAAUUUGGUCAAACUUUGCAAUGUUUGACUUGACAUAUAUCUAAUACGUAGAGUAAAAAGGACUGGAAGGAGUAUCUUAUGUGCAUUGUGACCCUCUACCCACGAAUGUCGAUCCAAUGAAUACGAAGGUACGCCCAUCAUUCCUAAAUAUAAGUGUUUUUUGAAAUUGUAAUAAAAUGAACUAAAUACAAAGCAACAUGAAUGAGUCUACACUCUAAAAUACGUCUAUAUACAUUUGUAUUUAGUCCAUAUUGAAAUUUCUAAACAGACUUAUAUUUAAGAACAGAGGGAGUGGGAAUAAUUAAGUACUAGGGUACAUAUGAAAGCCAAUCGAUUUGGGUGGGCAUAAAACCUGAACAGCAAAUCGAAAUAAUCUAGUAAUAUACUACAAGUAUGUAACUUUUUUUUAUAGAACUAGCAGUCACAUAGAUCCUCCAAUUUUUCUAUUUUUAUAUGUUAACUUUAGGCAUUGGUUUCUAGUGGGUGUAGUAUGGUACACACACCCGAAAGAACAUCUCCCUUCACUGACCCAGCCAUGCGUAGACACCAUCGAGUGCAACCGCAAUGCCACCAGAAAGGCCAAACUGUCCCACACUUGUGCAUGCGCCACUGUAGCAAUAGUUUCCCCCCUUCUCUAGUCUACAACAUGACAUAUAACAAAACACUGCAACACGACAAUGGUGAUACAAAAACAAGAAGCACCCACACAUAUGAGACACACAUAGAGAAUGUGACCCAACACAUUAAAUUGACAGUAACUAUAGCUCUUCCUUUCCGUGGAGCUUACAAAAUGUAAUUUAGACAAGGUUCUUUGUUAACGAUGGAUAGAUAUAGAAGUUUUGAUUCUUCUAUUAUGUCAUGCUCCAAAUUCAAGUAUAAAAAGAAAUACAAUCUUUUGAUGAGCGAACGGAACGAGGCCCGUCAUCGAUUGGCUUGGGCCAAAGCAGAGCGGAGCGAGGCCCGUCGCCGAUGCUUGCCAGGCGGGCAAAGAAUGGGAGAAGGCCGUUCUCCACCUUGUCACGAUAGCAAGUUGCCAUUCUAGAAACUAACCAUGGGUUGAUAAGCACCCUCUAGAUUUUUGUGUGUGGUCGAAGAGACGGUGAACCAUCAAUGGUGAAGAGGCUGCCAGCCAUGAUAUCAAAGCUGGCGGUGAACUUUGCUCCCUUGGGUAAGUUGUCGCGGAUUCAGAACGGAGCACACCGGAUAAUGAUUUCCUAUAUGCGUACCGUAUUUUUUUGUCAGAUUCAGAACGGAGCACAUAAUGGCAGGAUGUAGAUUUGAUCGUGGAGUCAGAGCAAAAAUGGAGCGGACUCGCACUGGAAACUGGCAAAAAAUAUCGAGUCAUAUGUGCAAUGAGUCAUGAUUUUAUUUCUACUAUGCAAACAAUAUGAAAACAUUUUUUUCUCCAACUGCAUAAAACUAGAGAGUGACCAAGCAUUUAAAGUUAUAGUUUGCACCAAUACACAACAAUUUAUAUGCGGUGAUUCUAAUUAGUGAGCUUAUUGGAUAUCUCGGUUUGUCAAUUGAUUAUUAAUUAAUCAUAUUGAUAACCUCGGAUAAUCCAAUAAAAUUGAAUUUCAUUUGAAAUGUAACCGGGCAUAUGCAAUUAGCUUUGGAUCCCCGGCUCUCGCACCCGUGUCCUCGCAUUGGUCCACCUGUACGCGGACAUAUGCAAGAGCAAAUUUGCGGCUCAUCGUUGGAGAUGCCCUUACAGGGUAUUACUCCGUUAUCUCGGAAUAAUCCGGGUAGUACAAAAUUCCACUGCGGCAUCCUAAGGAAACACUGACGGGAAAGAAGACCAACCAAUCAUCACAUAUAUGCGGAGGGGGGUGGGGGAAUAUCAAGCGUCCAGUGUUGUUGUGUUGGCCUGUUGGGAACCUCCUUGAAUUGCCGUUUCUUGGCACAAGCAUGUCCAUGGGGGCCCGAGGAAGCGACAAUGAUGCUAGGUGAUGAAUAUCUUGCCACUGUGCUACUUAACCUUGGUGAUGUGCCCUUGUGGAAACAGGGUCCAGUUGUACAGGAUAUGUAGGCGCAAUGAAAAUAAAACCAAAACACCAUGAAUCAAUCAAAUCAACUACUUUUACACUCACAUCUCAAAGAAGCCAGCACUGCGCAACGUCAUUGUUCCUCGACCAUCGAGUAGCCGCGAGAGUGAAGAGCAGAUGAUGUCACAUACAUACCAUCAUGGAAGGGGAGAGCAGAACCACUGCCAGUAUGACGAUCACUCGUGGAUGGAAGAGGGGAAGGGGAGUGGCCAAAAGAUAUGGCGUUUUGACAUCCCAAUAGAAAAAUGAGGUAGAGUGGGGACUGAUUCGACUAACGCCUACAACUAGCCAUCAAUGAAAUAACAGAAGGAAGGGGAACAGUAAAGCUUCCCCGAUACCGUGAUUCCGGCACCGCCGGCCUCCAGAAAUCUCGCUUUACAUCAAACAGGGUAUGAAUUUUUGAGAAUCAUCAAACAAGUUAUGAGUGUGUAGGGCCAGCCAGAUCCUGCAAACCUCUGUGAAAAAAGUGCAAGCGGGUAUUUUGUCACCUCGUUCGAUGAGAGGGCGCCUUGGUCGGUCACGGGAGCAUCACACAAUUGAUACGUAUUGCCUAUCACUAUGAUCCCCACGUGAUCAUUGGCAUGGGCCAGCCCAUCAAAGGCUAUGGGCUAUGAAGCGUUCUUCUCGAGCGGGAUUGGUGAAUUUUUCGAGAGCUUCCCAACUGGUUUUGGGAAGCUUACGGGCCGGGUUUUUUUCUAGUUGUUUUUUCUGUCAAUUGUCAUUCCUUUUUCCCCACUGUUUCUUCUAUUAUUUUGUUUCAUCAGCAUUUCUUUUGCAUUUUUAUUUUUAUUCCUUUUAUUUUUCAUUUUUCAAAAUCGCAAACCUUUUUAAUUUUUUCGCAAAAAAUUACCGAGAUCCAAGAUUUUUUGAAUUUCACAAAUUUCUUUAAAAUUAGCCAAUGUCAUUCAAAUUUGCAUGUUUUUAAUUCAUAAUUUUUUUUCACAAACUUUUUAAAUUUAUGAAUAUUAUUCAAAUAAGGAAUGUUUUUCAAACUCAUUAACAUAUGUUGAAUUUACAAACACUUUUCAUAUUCGCAAAUUUUUUCUAAAGUCACGAAUAGUUUCUGAAUUUGUGAACUUCUUUUGUAUGUUGGGUUUAUAUUUUGAAAUCAUGAAGCUCUUUUGAAUUCACUAACUUUUCUUGAAUUUCAUGAAAAAACAAUUCACAAUUUUUAAUACAUUGAACAUUUUUUAUGUUUUUAUAAAUUCAAAUAUUAUUGAAUUUUGUGAACAUUUUCUGAAUUCAUGAAGUUUUUCUGAACUUACCAACUUUUUUGAAUUCAUAAACUUUUUAAUCUGUCAAUAUUUUUAAACUUCUUGAAGUUUUGAAAAUCACUAACAUUUUUCGAAUUCCCGAUAAUAUUUUGAAUACAUGAACAUUUGUCAAAUCUGGAAAAAAUAUUCAAACUGAUGAACAUUUUUUAAUUUGCAUACAUUUUUUACAUUUUUACAAUUUUUAGUAUGGUAGAGAAAAAACAAAAUCAUAGAUAGGAAGCUACGCUAUAGAAGUCACCAACGGGAGGUAAUGGAGGUAAUGGGUCAGUUUUUACAGUUUUUCGGAUUUGGAUGUAAUUUUUAUUAUUUCUAAUGUUUGUUGUACUGCCAUGAUAGAAGAUGAAUAUAUUGAAAGUUUUCUCGAAAAAAAUAAAUAAAUAGAAGUCACCAACGGAAGGUAAUGGGUCGGCUCACCCCACGCGCGACCAGCGAGAGGGAUGUCUGGACAUAUGCGCACUACGCUACUAGCGAGUUCUAUAUAGAAGCUCCCAGAGCAGCGGCCCAGAUAUGUUGAGGUGGCAGUGACGCGCAGCUUUGUAACGAGCCAACAAUCCUGUGCGUUCACAUGGGAGAUCCAGCGGCCGAUGAACUUCAAACACUAUGCGAAGUCGUAGCUAGCUGAGUUUUUGAACAUUUUUCAAAUUUGCAUACAUUUUUAAGUUUUUUUAGUGCCGUAGAAAAAAGGACAACACCCCAAAAUCAUACCUAUUUGUCUACGUUACAGAAGUCAGCGGCCGAAGGUAAUGGGGCCGGCCCAUCCAAAAAGGGAGAAAACUCCCAAAACAUACUCUCUCCGUCCGAAAAUACUUGUCAUCAAAAUGGAUAAAAAAGGAUGAAUCUAGAACUAAAAUACAUCCAGAUACAUUCCUUUUUAUUUAUUUUGGUGACAAGUAUUUCCGGACGGAGGGAGUACGUACUUGGCUACCAGUGAGAGGGAGAAGUAUGGACGUGUGCGCCUGCGGGCGACCCAAUUGUAGUGCUUGCAGUGAGCGCUAUGUACAAGCUCCCAGAGCAGCGGUCCUGAUAUGUUGAGGCAGCCAUGACGCGCAGCACUGUAACGACCCGACAAUCUUGUGUGUUCAUACGGGAGAGCGGACGGCUGACAAACUUAAAAUACUGUGGAAAAGCCAUGGCUAGCUGAGUUUUACUGUCUUUGUAAUAAUAUAACUAGCUGGGUUACCCACGCAUUUGCGCGGCUAGAUUAGCUAAAUAUCAUAAAUUUAUGUCUUACUUUCUAUCAUAUUUAUAUUAUUAAAGUGUUGUUACGUGGGUAUUUUAAAUUAUUGAGAACUGUGUAACCAUAAUAUUUUCACUAUCAGUUUCAAUCAAAAUCAGGUGCACAAAUGGAAUUCACUAAAUUAAGAUACAUUAAGUUGCUUGUAAGAAACAUUGGUGUGUAACAAAGGUAAGAAACAUUGGUGUGUAACAAAGGUAGAUCGUCGUGAAAUUGCAAUUUUCUUCAUUCUUAUAUAUUUUUCUUCUAGUCUUUCUUGUACCUUAGAGCCCAUAAGAUUUUCUUUCAGAGGACUAAAAUAGAAUCAUGUUCCUCCAUCCAUCUCAUUUCCCGGCACAAUUUUCUUUUGAUUCUCUGCUCCAUUUUCUCAACCUCUUUUCUUGCUCCCUUCUCGCUAUGCAUGUUUAUACAUUUAAGCAACAUGUGCAUGUUGAUACAUCCAACAUGAUGCAUGUUCUGUUAUUAGAUAUCUCGUCACUAUAUAUUCAAUGUUAUCAAAUGUAAAGUAUAUUGUGAAAUUUAUUUUAUAUAUUAUUCCACAUUCACGUUCCUAUUCAUUUCUACACAUGACUAUUUAAUAAUUUUGCUAUUUAGAGAACUCACAUGGAGUAAAAUCAAUUUAUCAGUUUUUAUGCAAUUCUUAGUUAUUUUUUUGUAUUUUAUAGAUUAUUAAAAAGUAGUUGUUUAUGGUGUUCAUACGAAUUAUAAAUAAAUACAUACUUCUAAUACAUUUUGAGAAACAUAGCUUUCUAUAUAAUUUUUCCACUGAGUAGGAGAACGUCAAAUUUCAAUAUUUUGAAAUAAAUAUAGUUGUAUUCUUAGGUUUAACCUAUAAUAUUUUUAAUAAAUUUAUUCUGAAAUUUCGCUACUUGGGUUUCAUGUAGGAGAUGUACAAAAAAUGCUAAUGAUAUGUAUUCAUCGGUGUAUAUUUAACAUAUUUAUUUAAUCAAACAAUAGAUAAAAAAUCCCUCACUUGCUUGUCAAGUACAGGGGUUUCCGCUGAAUUCCCAUGGAAAUAGUUAACUGGCUGUGUUAUAUGGUUUGCCUCAAGUCCUGAGAUAUCGGAUGAGGUGGUUGCUUACGUAAAAGUCUGACGUGUUUGUUUGGGAUUCUGAUUUUGAAAGGUCUAGAAUCUGGGAAUCUGUAGCUGAAGCCCAAUCGAAGGCCACCAUAAUGUAUAUAUGCAUGCAUUUACAUAUGGCAAGUUUAACAAAUCCACAUGCUGUUCGUAAAAAAAAAAGGAAAACAAAUUUAUAUGCGUGAUGCGCCUAGUUGCAAGCAAAUUGUCUUAUGUGAUUUGCUUAUCUACUUGAAGCACGUCCACGUGCGUCCGCGUCUGAGUCUUCUUGCUCAUGUCCGUAUGAUCAGCUAUGUUUUGCCCCUUUGACUGGACGUCGGACAUGUUUUAGUUUAACAUGCUUGGUAAUUUUUUCAUACGUGAUGGAUUGGGACUAUGAGUUCCCUUGUAUGUACGUGUUUAGAUGGUAUGUGUCAGCUUAUAGAUUUAUCUGUACGUGUCUUCCAAACUUUAAACCCGAGCUGUUUCCUUUUAUGUGCUUACUGUGAGCCAUUACUUUUCUCCUAUUUUAAUAAUUUAAUAAAUUUUCAUAAUUUAGCUAUUUAUGAAUUUUGUGAAGUACAUAUAUCUCAGCUCAUCUUUGUCCUAGUCAAAUGCUAAUUCCAAUAUUAUUUUUAAAUUUAGCUAUUUAUGAAAUUUGAGAUGUAAAUAUCAAAUAUUUAUUUACUUUGAAUGAUGAAACAUGUGUAUACUUUUUUAUUUGAGAAGUAAUACGAAUUAAUUUUAUCCAGUGGUUAUGAUAUUGCUAAGAAGCAAAUGAGCCAGCCAAAUGAAUUAUUAACCAAUGACAACAAAGUGAUGUCAUUGUUUGUAGUUUGUAGGAAGCUUAUAUACUACGAACUUGAUUGCACCACUUUUGCCUUCACUACGUACACGUGCGAACCUGGUUGACUCCAGUUACAUUAUUGUAGGUGACAUGUGAAACAAAACUCUGAUUCGUCAGUUUUGUUUGGAAAGUUUUUUCCUUUUCUGUUUGCACCAUUGCACCUUUACGGUACGGUAUUCUGCACUGAAGUGGUGAUCUAAAAAACACUAUUCUACACCGAAGUUGUAUGGCUGGCCAGUCAAAACCGGCACAGCAUCACUUUUUUUCAAGUAGUACAAAAUAAUGACUUGCUGAUGUCAAUAGAUGUCCGGUUGGACUUGUACUUAGGCAUAAUUCCAACUCAUAUGCUGCGUUGCCAAGCUUUCCUUUUUUUCCUACGGCAAGUUGCCUUAAUCUAGUCCGUUCAUAUUUCUUAACUUUUUGAGCGGUGAAUCUCUACCGUUACUUUUCUAUCGUUUUAAGUAUAUAAUAGAUAGAUAGAUAGAAGAUUGGAAUCACCGAUGUCUUGCCGCGAGCCUAACAAUAUAUAGGAACUGGAGUCGGUAGUGUGCUGCUAAGAGCAAAGUGUUUCCAUGCAGAAUACGUUUUGUGUGUAUCAAAUCAAGCAUACGGUUCUUUCUAAGAUAGUGCGAGUUGAGACAAGCGUCUCAGCCCCGAGGGAUAUAGUGCAUAUAUACGUAAAUAUACAGAUAGUAUACAUACAGCAAGACACGAAAAUACCAUUUGGAGGCCGAGCUCCAUGCAGCUCGUAAUCUCCAUCGUCAGUCAUCGUACAGAUCAGCUGCAGUGUCGCAUUUACUAUGUGUAUUUCAGCUGUCAGGUACUCAUACCACACCGUAUUUCUUUUUUACAUACAGUGUCAUCCCAUUUAGGCGACGAAGUGCUGCCAGGCUGGUCAGAUAAGCCAUCAUUUCACCCAUCAAGUCCAUGCUAUGUGAGCAGUUCACGAACAUGGGCACGCGCACGCUCUCAUGUUCCCAUAGUAUUACAGCACGGGCCGUUGCACAUCAAUGUUCUGUUGCCGAACGUCUAGGCUCACGAUCAGACCGUUUGAAAACAAUCUAUUUAUAUCGGUCAAGAACAGCACCGCCCUAUUCAUUGCAAUCCAGCAAAGCUAACAAGAACAUCACCAUAGAUACAGCGUCGUCGUCAUCCACAUCUCGGUCGAAAGAUAGACGACACAGCCCAUAUAUCAACAGAGAUAUCAUUGGAAAAAAAACAAGGUCAUUUUUUCUUAAACCGCAGCACAAUCUAUCAUGACCUACCAGAAAAAGCAACAAGCUGCUAAUGCCAUGGCUACCCCAAAUUCAGCAAACAUACAGUCUAGUACUCCCUCUCUCCCAUAAUGUAGGACUAGCUUGUAAAAACGUUUUUCAUUGUGGGAUGAAGGGAGUAGAAUACAUAAAUGAAGGUCUCAAAAUGGUUCUUAUAAAAACAAAACGUCAUCUAUAAUGGCGUCAAACCACAAAUGAACAAUGUCAAUAAACGCCUGAUGCUCAUUGUGGAUUGUCAACUUUUGGCGUGUUGCUACCUGUGUUCUUAGUUUGUGUAACUAUUUUUGUGCCGAGCUGACUUCCAAUGCAAUUUCUCCCCACGGUUAGCUGAUAGAUCAUGGUUGUGCUCUGACCUGUGCUCGCACACAUACCGGCCACAAUCAUCCGAUCUCAGCAGCCGCAUCAUGGCAUUGCACCCACAUCUUCGACCGGCCAUUAGACUGCAAUGGUUUACCAUGUAGAAAACACACACACACACACACACACACACACACACACACACAUGCGCACAGAGACCAGCAGCAGAUGUAAAAUGGCCAGUCCAAUGUGACACACACUACAUAUAUGACAAAAACAGAUUGAAUCAUUCCGCACAAACUUUUUGAUAAAAUAAGUUGCUGUCGAUUACUCACCGCACAGGCGCAUACGCACUUCUUCUGGUGUACAUUCAAACGGCUUUUUAUGUAUUGGACACCAAAACCAACUUCCGAAGAGUACAAGUUGUAGAACUCAUAGUCCUCCUCGAGAGACUCAAAGCUAGUUCCAAUUGCUGGAUUAAUAACAUUUGCAGUUUUGAUCAACAUAGGCACGAACCGGAGCCUCGAGGGCAGACACUCUGCUAGAAUUGUGCUCCCUCUCAUCUGCUGCCUUACUAGUCCUGACCCUGUGAACGACGGCACAUCAAUAAAUCAGGAAAUAAGCUGCCAUUUUUUUUGCAAUGCAAAGCAAUGACUGUGUUGUGCCGGCUUCUGCUGCUGAUUCAUUCUAACCAACAAUAUAGGUGUUUUGUUCUGAAUCUCACACAACACAGCUGCAAAAUUAUGUCUGACGAAUAUCAUGGAAUGAAGUUUAAUAUGAAGAACAGGAACAUCACCUCCCGGUCCAACAAGACCCCUUUGUCUUGACACGACCACGCCGUCUUCCUCUCUAUCCUCGGCUACCGUGUCACGGGCAAUACUCCCAGCGCCUGGGUCGCACGAAUCCCCUACCUCUUCGCCACCACCAUUGUACGAGCUGCAGUUCCUCUCCGUUACAAAUGCCUCCUCCAUAGGGUACCCAUCCAGGCACACUGGCUCAGAAUAAAUCAAGUCAUCUUGGGCACCAGUAAUUUCGCUCGUCUCAUCAUCAAUGAGCUGUGCACGGCCGUCUCUCAAGACAAGCACGUCGUCCAAACGAGAGACCAACCUGCCCAGACAAACAAUACACAACCAGAUCUGAUUUUGGAUGAACAAAGCUGGGAAAACUCUAAUCCAACCCACUGCCACCCAACUAAGGACACCCCCCGCGAUCGUAAUCAGGUAAAAAGUGAGAUUUAGGGGAAAAUUUACCCUGCGUCCGAUUCCUCGAAGAAUAACUCUAUGCCAUCUAUGGCGAAAGCAGCUCUGCUCUGGUAUGCUCGAGCUAGAUGUCAACGGGCCAAACACGCAUCUCCGGCACACCGCCCCAACCUCGUAAUGGUCAUCGAGCGGGCCUACAAGAUACAUUUACUCUCGAUCCACACCAGCCCGCGAAGUGGGCCAAAUUCAAAGUCGCCCAGGGAGAACAUCAUGUUCACGCGAGGCACCGGCUAAAACGCAGGCCCACGUACAUAUCGUGAACACGAGAGGAUGGCACCGGUGUAUUUAUCUCAAAUAUCCGACGUAUAUAGCUCAAAAGGAAAACGACACACAUCCUGAUGCUAAAACGCUCGACGAGGAUUACGGCCUCCAGGCAGCUCGUCCGCCAAAACGUCCCUCUCCAGCAAGACACAUAUAUAAAGUAUAAUAUUGAAGCCCUGAACCUCGAAAGAGUCAUGCAGAAUAUGUAGGUACUUUUAUUAUAGAUAAACAGACUAGUGUUAUGCUUGUCGCUUCUUCAGCUUCACAAUGAGCCCAUUUUCCAUUUGCAGUAUACAGGACGACUUGGGCCGGAUGCUCUGCCCUUCUAAUACCUCCACAUCGAAGUUCCACAACACUGUGGUGAUGAUGAUCUUCAUUUGCAUAACCGCAAUGUCCUUGCCAGGGCAUAUCCUCGGACCUGAGUUGAAGGACAAGAACUUGUGAGACGGUACGUACCUCAGCGUGUUGCCGUCCUUUGAGAGCCAUCUGUGUGGGUUAUAGUCCAGACAAUCCUCACCCCACACGCCCCUCAUUCUUCCCAUGGAAUAGAUGGAAACAAAGACUGUGUCACCUGCAUGCACCUUGUGGCCACUCGGCAUGAUAUCCUUAGUGGCCACCGUCUUGCGUUCCAAAGGCGCCGGUGGGUAGAGUCUGAGAGUCUCAUACAAGGUGGCUCGUAGAUAGACCAGAGACUUGAUCUCCUCUGGCUCAAAGAUCACCAUGGCACCCGCACCCGUGGGUGCUUUUUGUAAUGCAAUUGGUAACAAUUCAUUACGGAUAGUUGCCACGAUGUCAGGGUUCUGAGCGAGGUUGUAGAAGAUCCAUGUCAGGGUCGUGCGAACCAUGUCCCGCAGAGCGAGCAUGAGGCCAAUGAGCCCCGCACAGAGAAAGUCGUAAUCGGCGAAGUCCGGGUCGUUGAUGUAGGAAGACAGAAUAUCCAUACCCUCUUGUUCCUCAUCAUUACUAACAUGUACUUUGUCGAUGUUCCUCCGUUCGAUCAUCUUUGCGACGAACACUCAUAGUACUGUGUGCGCUGCACCAAGCUUUCUCUCAGGCCCAAUGUUUAGCCACCUCAUCACCUUCCAGCAAGAGGCCGGCAUCAUGUGCUGAAAAAAGCCUACUUCCAUGACCGUAUCCAUGGCAACUGCGAUGUCCAUGGGCGGCAUGUCUGUGGAAAGAAGGCCAGGGUCCAUGCUAAAUAGAGCCGUAGUGGCCAAGUCAAACAUAAACCUCGACAUUAGUUCCUGCAUGUCAAAUAGAGGGUUGGUGCUUGCCAUGUGGCAAAACAACGGGAGAAGGUUGUUCACCACCUUGUCGCGGCAGCAAGCCUCCAUACUGGCAACCAACCACGGGCUGCUGAGUAUAGUAUGGAUCUUCACUCGUGGACGAAGAGCUCGUGCGCCGUCGACGUUGAAGAGGCUGUCACCCAUGAUGUCGAAAAUGGCAGCGAACUCCGUGCCCUUGGGGAAGUUGGUGUAGUUUGUCGUGAAGAUGUGGCGGAUGUUUGCAGGGUCGCAGGUAACGAAGAACCUCAUUCCGGUCCCAGGUGGGCCAUGCGCCCUGAAGUUGUGGCCGUUACCGGCGAGAACCAAGGUGAAAUAUUCAAGCAAGUUGUGGACGUUGACCAGCAAGGAAGGGAACAUGUGUAUUAUUGGCCAGUUUAUGGGGAGAGCUGCUGGGUUCUUUGAUCUACUACGAGACCUAAAGUACAAGUACAUGGGAACAAGUAGCACGAGUGUGGAGAUGAGCAACUCCAGACGGAAUGGAAUCAACAUUGUUUAUCACUACUGUGGGAGGAUACACACUACUACAUGUCAAUGGUUUCAUUUAUAGACAUGACCCCUCAAUCUAAGCUCGUUGGUCGUGUGCACAUCUUUUUGCAUCAUGUACUGCAUAUGGACCCGGGAGGGGCGUUUUGGCUCCCGGGAGCAUAUGCUCCCGGAUGAACAGUAAAUUAAAAAAAAAGAAAAAUAUAUAAAAUAAUUGAAUUUGGUGGUGGAUUUUCGAUAUGGACCAACCAAUCAUUAACCUAUUAGAAAGAUACUGUAUGUUUUAGUACCUCCUAUAUGAAGAGUUCUACAGUCGACCAAUGUCCAAAUCAUCCUUAAUUAGCAGUUGCUCAGUAGCCAACCACUCUUUUCCGUUUUUCUUCGAGGAUCUUUUUUAGUUAUUUAGUAAUGGGUAUCUAUCGUGACGGUUAGCUGUAGCAUAUAGUCUUUGCUAACAAUCAAAACGUGCCAGCUAACAAAGCUAAUUCUUCCACACAAAAAUGUGUCUGCUCCUAGCUAGGGAACCGGCAGUUGCAUUUAGACAAGGAUGUUCGAUCAUGAGAGAGGCAUUUUGGAGGCCGAGCUACAUGGCUCUCUUUAUCUUGUCCAGUUGUUGUCCCGUUGCGAUCUGUGCAGCCUGCCUUUCUUGGUAUAAUACGCGGACUAGUUUAUGGAAAUACAUUGGUGCCAUGCGUUGGUGUACAUGGGCGUUGGAUAUGUCCGGUCAUUUCAUGAACAUGGCGUGCGUUGAUGUGCUGACGGCUGGCUGCACUGUGUGUCAGAGCAGAUGUUUGCUGCGACCGCAGAGAGACCAUGCAUGCAGCUGCUGGACACUACGAGCGGCUCUUGCUGCUGGACUAUGCGUGUCAGAGGAGAUUUAUGCUAUAGACUAAACAAAAUAUGGGUUUACGACAGAUACCAGAACAGACAAAAAACGUUGCCAACUUGUUGGAAAAAUAUGAUAACAAAAUGUGAACUGGACCAGGGAAUCCAACAACAAAUUAGUUGUGCUGGGAAAACUAAAAAAUGUUUGACACAAUUGGUGAAUUGUUUUUUCUAUUUUGAAAAUGCGGUACUCCCUCCUAUCCAAAUUAAUUGACACAGGCUUUAUACAACCUCUAUACAAUCUUGUAUAGACGUUGCGUCAAUUAAUUAAGAUCGAAGGGAGUAGCACAACUUGGUAUGAGGUAAUCUGUGCAAAAACGAGAUAGUACGGUAAAUUCUCUGGCUAUGGCAUGAUCGGGAGGAGAAAAUCGACAAUCAGUCGGCAUUGUCUCCUAGCACAAUAGAAGUGUGUGUGCGCACGCGCGUGUGUCUCAGAAAAUUUAGAUACAUCAAUUAAGAAGAAUUUUUUUGGUGUAAAUUAUCAGUCCGGUGAAAAUUUUGUUCUGGAUGGGGUAGAGGUAAACUAGUUUUGUAAUGGUACUGUGUGUGCAUUGCCGCUAUACGGUUGCCGUGAUUUAUGUACAAAAAAGUUACCACUUUGUGUUUGAUGAUUUAGAAAGCGGUGACUGGUGCGCUUUUUGGUGGCGUGCCAUUGAUAUUGUGAGCGACACAUUUUCUUCAUUGAUCGCAAUUUUUUUUGAGAGACGCGGGACGUGCUUUAUAAGGCUUGAUUAUUUUUUUAAUAAAAACAUAAACACAAAAUAUGAGAUACGAUAUGCCCAAUAACACAAAAAAUGAGAAAAAUCACUUUGGCAUGCAUUCGGACGGAAAGAUGUUUUUGGAGUGGAUUUGCAGUAGUUUGAGAUUUUUGGAUUGUAUUUAUUAUUGAUUGAUCAUCUAGUCAUAUGGUUGCUUAUAUCGGGCAAAGAAAAUUUGUGAUUCAACUCGAAUUUGAUACAUGAGGCUUUUCAGACAAUUUUUUCAUGGUCGUUAUACCAGCAUCAUCCCCUCUCAUUUUUUUGUUUUUCAAAGCAGCAUCCCUUGUCGCCUGGUAUACUCAAACUAGUAAUGGCAAGUGACAAAAGGCUCCAGUUUCCACAGAUCAGAUUUAAAUGAAUAAUUAUGGGGGUGUAAUAAUGGUGCAUGUCUGUCGCGCGGUGAUGGUUGUAUGAUGGCACGUGUGCGGGCGCCUGCAAGACCUGACAUGGGAAAGCACUGUUGAUAAAGGGAGAAUACAGUGGCCUGUAAAUGCUGAAGGAUUAAAUACGUGAGACUAAUACGCGCAUGCGCCUGAUCUCCAUAAAGACUAACGCACAAGAUACCGAGCACCAUGUAGCUCGGCCACCAAACAGCAUUUCCGGUUCGAUCAUGAUGUAUAUAAAUAUAGAUGGGUUCCUUCUUCCAUGCUACCGGAUCACAGUAGCUGUGAAGGAAGAUGAUUUUGUCAGAACUGUUGCCACUUAUUAGCCAUUUUGUACCCAUAUUUAUUUUCACCGAUUAUCUUAUUGCGACAUUUGUAUCCAUCGUGAUCGUGUGCCGGUAGCAGGCGAAGAAGGAUGCCUAGUACUUUAUAUCCAUUGUCGCCAUCCUUCCUUGUGAAUGUUUUUUGAAUUAAAAAAAAAUUUAUUCAUUAACAAUAACCAAUACAUCGUUUCUAAGAAACGUUACAAUUUCACUAAUAGGCUCCUUAAACCAAUUUGAAGUCGAAAAAAACUAGCUAAUGUAGCAAGUUCAUGUGCUACUUUAUUAGCCUCUCUAUUACAAUGUUCGAAUUUAGUCAUGAUAAAAUCACAAGCAUAGUGAUAUCAGUCAUCGAAGAUUGCCGCCGCCCCUCCCGCCGACUGUCCUCCGUCCUGCAUGGUCUCAAUCACCUCUAGAUUGUCAGAGUUGAUGAUUAGACGAUUACAUCCCGCCCUUUGCACUAAAUUUAGGCCAAAUUUGAUAGCUAAGGCCUUCGCCAUGAUAACAUCCGCGCAGUAGUGUAUCUUUCCAUUCCCGCCUGCAGUAAAUCUACCCUUGUCGUCUCUCAAUACUGCCCCUAUCGUACCCUUCAGCAAGUCAAGGUCAAAAGAGGCGUCAACAUUGAGUUUCACAAAUCCCCUAGGACGACAUUUCCAACCCCCCCUUUUCAUGGACGCCUUUGAAGAUGAUGCAUUUACAAAAUUAUAUGUAAGAGCUAUGAUCCCCAUAGAGAUCUGAGUCACAUUUUGAGUUAAUUCCUGGUGCACUAAUUUCCGUCUUUCCCACCAUAUAUACCAAACUGAGAUAGCUAACAUUUCUCUAUAAUUUUCAUGCCCCAUAAUGCGCAAGGCUUGAUCUGGAAGGAGUAAUAGGUAUUCCAAUGUUGCCUCUCCAGCACGAUCAAUAUCACAAGCUCUCUCAAUAAUCAUAUCCAACCCUAACCUUUUCCAAACCUCCUUCGCUUUUCUACAUAGGAAAAGCAAGUGCUUCGUAUCUUCUACACCCUGAGAGCAGGUAGGGCAAGAGGGCAAGACCUUCAUGUGUCUAUUAGUGAGUGUUGUCCGACAUGGGAGAGUGCCAUGUAGUGUCCGCCAUAAAAAAAUUUGACUUCAGCCGGACAAGAUAACUUCCAUAUCUGACACCAUAUAGGGUAGGUGUGCUCCGUCCCAUCCCAUUGGAAAAUUUUAGUUUGCUCCCAUACUGAUAGUUCCACUCCAUAGAGUAAGCAGACCGUACCGAAAAUAUACCAUUUUUCGUAUAAGUCUAGGCAAUAAAAUCCGUCAUAUUAUGUUGCGAAAUUGGGAAUGUUGAUCCAGUCUGCGAUGAUCAUCUAGGUAGGAAAUAAUUAACUACUACUUAAGGGUGCUUAUAUGGAAGCGAAUCCACUGGGGUGGGCAUAAUAAACUUGAAACCGAAUAUCGAACCAAAUACCAAACUGAAAUAAGUGAAUUCUCAAUUUAUUCAGUGCCUUAUUAAGAGAACCAAAUGCUACUACAUAUCCGUGUUCAUUUCUAGGAACAUUGUAAUUAUAUUUAAGAUAAGGAUAUUCGAUCAGGGUUUGCUUCUUCCUUGCUACCGGAUGAAGUAGCAGGGGAUGGAAAAGUUUUUCUCAAAGUUAUUAGCACUUAUCCGUAGUCAUGAUCCAUACUUAUUUCGACCGUACUCCAUAUUAUUAUUUAUCAUGAAAUAUAUUGAUGUCUGUCACCAUCGUAGGCUGGUUAGAACCAAAAGUGAAUGGGAAAAAAAUGGGAAAAUAAAUAUCCUGAGUUUAUUUCAUCGUAUAUUUGUAGAGAGGGAGGUCUCUCGACUCUGCCCUCCCGCUCGUCCGCGCCGCCACCCCGCGGCGGCCGGGCGGGCCUCUUCUUCCCCGGCGCCCGUUGACUCAGCCCUUCUCUGCCCUCCUCGCCGCCACCUGCGCGGGCCGCCGGACGAAGCCUGGUUGGCAUGGGUGGCGGCGAGGGCUCUCUCCUCCCCGUCUGUCUCCGGCAGUGCGGGGUGUUGUGGAUCUAGCGUGGCGCGUCUCUGUGUGUAGGGCGCGGUGGCGGGGCUGCGGGUCGCGACACUAGUGGCAUGGGCGCUCGUUGGUGCCGCGACGGCUGUGCGGUGGAGGCGGAGUUUCGUCCUUCGGGCGGUUCGUGCAGGGUGAUCCCAGUCUGAUCUGGCCGGAUCUGGCACUGGCGGCCCGUCCGGCGGUGAGGGUUGUGGCCAACAGGGGCAUGGAGGUGUGGCGGCGGUUGGUGCGCAUCCAAGCGGGCAGUGGGCGGCUGGCUUGCUUGCUCGGCCCUGUAACGGCGCGGUUCGUGGGCGGCUUGGGACACGGGCGGUCGCCCUGCAUUGGUAGGUGGUGGCGGCUGCGCGGUGGUGGUUUGCCAUGAUCGUCUCCUCCUCGAGGUGGUGGCUCAUGGCUAUGGUCUGGGUCAUUCACGGCGGCGGCUGGGCUUAUCCGGCGUCGGCCCAUCGGUGUGCGGCCUGUGUGGACCUUCAACCCUUCUCUUUGGGCGUCCGUCCACUAUCUUCCCCGAUGAUUGGCCCUCCCCCAGUGACGGUCCAUCACUCGUCUCGCACCCGGUAGUAGGACCGAUCUUGUCUCGCACCCUACAGCAGGACUGACCUUGUCUCGCGCCCAGCAGCAGGACCGAGCCCGUUGAUAACCCACAAGUAUAGGGGAUCACAACAAUUUUUCGAGGGUAGAGUAUUCAACCCAAAUUUAUUGAUUCGACACAAGGGGAGCCAAAGAAUAUUCUCAAGUAUUAGCAGCUGAGAUUUCAAUUCAACCACACCUGGAAACUUAAUAUCUAUAGCAAAGUGUUUAGUAGCAAAGUAAUAUGAUGGUAGUGGUAACGUAGCAAAAGGUAACAUUAGUAAAAGUAAUGUUGUUGGUAUUUUGUAGUGAUGAUAGCAAUAGCAACGGAAAAGUAAAUAAGCGAAGAACAAUAUAUGGAAAGCUCAUAGGCAAUUGAUUCGUGAUGGAGAAUUAUGCAGGAUGCGGUUCAUCAUGUAACGAUCAUAACCUAGGGUGAUACAGAACUAGCUCCAGUUCGUUGAUAUAAUGUAGGCAUGUAUUCCAAACAUAGUCAUACGUGCUUAUGGAAAAGAAUUUGCAUGACAUCUUUUGUCCUACCCUCCCGUGGCAGCGGGGUCCUUACGGAAACUAAGGGAUAUUAAGGACUCCUUUCAAUAGAGAACCGGAACAAAGCAUUAACACAUAGUGAAUGCAUGAACUCCUCAAACUACGGUCAUCACCGGUAAGUAUCCCGAUUAUUGUCACUUCGGGGUUAACGGAUCAUAACAUAUAAUAGGUGACUAUAGACUUGCAAGAUAGGAUCAAGAACACUCAUAUAUUGAUGAAAACAUAAUAGAUUCAGAUCUGAAAUCAUGGCACUCGGGCCCUAGUGACAAGCAUUAAGCAUAGCAAAGUCAUAGCAACAUCAAUCUCAGAACAUAGUGGACACUAGGGAUUAAACCCUAAAAAAACUAACUAGAUUACAUGAUAGAUCCCAUCCAACCCAUCACCGUCCAGCAAGCCUACGAUGGAAUUACUCAAGCACGGCGGUGAGCAUCAUGAAAUUGGUUAUGGAGGAUGGUUGAUGAUGACGAUGGCGACGGAUUCCCCUCUCCGGAGCCCCGAACGGACUCCAGAUCAGCCCUCCCGAGAGGUUUUAGGGCUUGGCGGCGGCUCCGUAUCGUAAAAUGCGAUGAUUUCUUCUCCCUGAUUUUUUUCUCCCCGAAACUCAAUAUAUGGAGGUGGAGUUGGAGUCGGAGAGGCAACAGGGGGCCCACGAGGUGGGGGGGCGCACCCUAGGGGGUAGGCGCGCCGCCACCCUCGUGGCAAGGUGGUGGGCCCCCUGGCCUUCAUCUUUGGUAGGUAUUUUUCUUAUUUUCUGAAAAGUGUCUUCGUGAAGUUUCAGGUCAUUCCGAGAAUGUUUGCUCCUGCACAUAAAUAACACCAUGGUAAUUCUGCUGAAAACAUCGUCAGUCCGGGUUAGUUCCAUUCAAAUCAUGCAAGUUAGAGUCCAAAACAAGGGCCAAAGUGUUUGGAAAAGUAGAUACGUUGGAGAUGUAUCACCCGUCUCGCGCCCGGCAGCAGAACCAUGCUCGUCUCGCGCCCGGCAGCAGGAUUAAGCUCGUCUCGUGCCCGGUGCCGAGGACGGGGUGAUGGACGCCAACCUUGGCUAGCCUAUUGGGUCUCGGCACUGGGGGCAACCCGUGGGUGCGAAAGGCGGGUCCUUUCCACUCGUGUCUUUGGUCGGGGUAGCGGCUGAUCUCGUGUGAGGAGGUGCCAAGGUCUUGGAUGUCGGGGUGGCGGCCCUGACGGUGGCUCCGCGGGGCUCUUGGGUAGAGCCCGUGGCUUGAUGCUGCCCAGUUUCCAUGGCCGUGUGGGCGGCGUGGUAACCGGGGUGUGGCGUUCGGCAGCGGUGAAUGAUGGUCGGGGUGAAAACCUGCUCUUUCUUCGGAUGCACCGGCGACGGCGGACUCGUUCCCUUCUUGAAGGCGUCGUCGCGGCUCUCUUUGCCCUUCGUGUUGCUCCGGGGAAACUCUGAUCCUCGGAUCGGGCGCUGGUGGCGCUCUGGUGUCGUCCCCUUCAUGAAGGCGCCGCCUUGGAGCCCAGGGUUCGUCAUAUGUGGUUUCACCUCUUUGCGUAGUGCUAGGGAUGGUGUUGCUGUGCUCAGCGCCUAUGUAUCUUGCCUUGGGUGUGUGUGUGUGUGUGUUGUGUGGGCGUGAGUUUGUACUGGGUGAUGUUGAAUGGUGCUUUAUAUAUAAAGUAGGGAGAAAGCCUUUUUCGGUAAAUAAAUAUCCUAUUGAUUGUGACCCUCCUCCCACUCGAAUGUUUAUUCAACAUGCAAGGAAUAUCUAUUUAAUUAGGAAAUAAUAUCUACAUGUGGGCAUGUUACUUUGAGUCUUUACUUAACUUUUUGAAACAAGGCAAAAGAUUUGCCAUUUUCAUUUAUUAAGGAGAAGAGAAUUGCCUAGUUAAUUGACAGAAAAUCGGGCUAAAACCGUUACAACCCAAGCCACAUGACACGGGCAUCACCGGUCAACCUGGCCACCGACAUGGUACACAACCACGAUGUCACAUGCCACCGGAUGGCCACACGCGCAAGGAUCUAUGACCGUGAUGGUUAAAAUAUAGAGUGCUCAUUUCUCGCUUGUUACCUGGUCAUAGAAGUAGCAAAGAAAGAUAUUUUAGUGUCGAUGUUAUUAUUACUUAUUAUUUAUUGCGAUUCAUAUUUAUUUCAUGGUGAUCCAUAUUAUUAUGUAUAUUGGUGUAUAUUGGUCAUAAUUUUAAAUAUAUAGCACGCUAUCUCGGCACUAUAGCACCCAUUUAUCUGCUAACGCUUAUGCCGCUAUUUAAAACUUUGAUCGUGGUGUAUAUUUAAGACCAAGGUGGUCGUAGGUCGAUAGCAACAGAAGAAAGAAAUGUAUAUCCUUUGUGACUCUCCGUCAAAACAGAUGUUGAUUCCACAUGCGAUAAAUGACAUUUCCUUAGAAAAUAAUUAGUAUCCAAAAGUGAUAAACAAACUAUCAAAGGGUCCCAUAUAUCAAAGCCAACUGUAUAACAUUUGUUCUUCCCAUACAUUAGAUGGCUUCGUCUGUGUGUGUGUGUGUCUCUCAUUGCUAAUGUCUAAAACGUGGUACCAGUGGAGUAGAUAGGUGGGCUCAAUGAGGACGAAUGUUCAUGGAGCUGGGGCGCAUUCAUUCACUCAACUUGAAUAGCGACCUAAACCUGUCUUAUUACAUACAACUCAAUCAAAAAAAUGCUAAUAAUCUAGGUAUGGCCUCUCGAUUGAUUCUAUGUAGAAACCAUGAGUGCAUCAACAAGACAAAAUACAAAGCACAUCCACAACUAGACCAACUAUGCCCACUCCUCCGUCCAAGAGAGACAGAAAAUGCUUCCGAGGCAAGCUAUCCUUCGAUCCUCAUCCUCGUCCCCGACUCAACAAAAAAUAUAUGCAAAUAAUAGAUAUAAAUUUAAACAUAUGUCCUUAUUAUUUUAUCAAAUAAAUAGCAAUCCAUGUAUAUAAAUACAAUACUGAGAUUCCAGGCCUAGGAAGAACCAUGCAGGACCCUUAAGUAAGUUUGAACACAAGGAUUGUGUAAUGUUACAAUUCUCGCUUCCUCAGUUUAACUAUAAAUACAUUUUUCAUCUGUAGUAUACAAGAUGGCUUAGGCUGGAUGAUCUGCCCUUCCACCACCUCGACAUCAAAGUUCCACAACACAGUCGCAACGAUGGUCUUCAUCUGCAUAACCGCAAUCUCCUUGCCAGGGCAGAUCCUCGAGCCUGAGUUGAAGGCCAAGAACUUGUGAGAUGGUACGUACCUCUGGGUGUUACCAUCCUUUGACAACCACCUAUUUAGGUUAUAGUCAAGGCAGUCUUUACCCCAUAGGUCUUCCAAUCUCCCCAUGGAGUGGAGAGAAAUAAGGAUGGUGUCCCCGGCCUUCACCUCAUGGCCACUCGGCAUGAUAUCAGCAGCAGCCACUGUCUUGCGCUCAAUAGGUGCCGAUGGGUACAACCUAAGAGUCUCUUACAAUGCAGCUCUGAGAUAGACCAGAGGUUUUGUAUCCUCUGGUUCAAAGAUCAUCAUGGCACCCGUACUCGCGGGUACUUUGUGCGAUGCAAUGGGUGAGAGGUGACUGCGGAUAAUUGAUACAAUGCCAGGGUUCUGGGCGAGGUUGUAGAAGACCCAGGGUAGAGUGGUACCAAUCGUGUCCCGCCCAGCAAGCAUGAAGGUGAGGAGCACCGCAUGGAGCAAGUCAUUGUCUAUGUAGUCUGGGUCAUUUAUGUAGGAAGAUUGAAUAUCCUCGUGUUCAUCAUCAUUACUCAAUGCACAUCUUCUCCCAUUAGAGUUAUCUUACUCCUCUCCUCGAUCAUCUCUGCAGCAAAUCUUCUUAGCACCGUGUGCGCCGUGUGAAGCUUCCUCUCAGAGCCGAUGUUUAGGCGCCUCAUUGCCUUCCAGCAAGAGGCUGAAAUUAAGUGUGGGAUAAAUCAAACCUCCAUGACCGUGUCCAUCGCGACCGCGGCAUCCAUGGGUGGCAUCGACAUGUCUAAGGAGAAGGACAGGAGGCCAGGGUCCACGCCAAAGAGAGGUGUGGCAGCCAAGUCAAACAUAAACCUGGAAAACACUUCUUGCAUGUCGAACGGAGUGCCGGUGCUUGCAAGGUGGGAAAAUAAUGGUAGAAGGCCAUUCUCCACCUUUUCACGGCAGCAAGUUGCCAUACUAGCAACCAACCGCGGGCUGCUAAGCACGCUCUGGAUUUUUGCGCGCGGCCGAAGAGAGGGUGCACCAUCCAUGGUGAAGAGGCUGCCAGCCAUUAUGUCAAACUCUGCUCUCCCUUGGGGAAGUUGGUGUAGUUUGUGGUGAAGAUGUGUCAUACAUUCGCGGGGUCGCAGGUGAUGAGCAACCGCAUCCCGCUCCCAACCGGGCCAUGCGCCUUGAAGUUGUGGCCUGAUUCGGCAAGCACUAUGGAGAGAUAGUCAUGCAAGUUGUGGGAGUUCGCCAAGAAGGAAGGUAAAUGUGCAAUAUUGGCCAGUUUGUGGGAAGCAUUGUUGGGUUCUUUGAUAUACUACUAUACCUAAAGUAGUAGUACAUAGGGACAAGUAGCACGAGAGUGGAGAUGAGCAGCUCUUGUGAGAAACUACUCGACAUUAUUAUCAUGAGGGUAGCGGGGGAUAUGCUAUUGUAGUACUAUUUCGAUUUAUGCAUCCUGCAAUCGAACAUGGAGAUGGCUUCAUUUAUAGACAAGUUCCCUCGAUCUAAGUCCAUUGUGGUGCACGUUGUUUUGCAUUGUGAAGUGCAUGUUGACUAGCCAAUAACUAGCUUGCCACUACAAGAAUAUAUAAUAUAUUUGUAGCUCCAACAAAGGUAGUUAUACGCUCGAGAAAAGUCUCCAAAUCGCACUUAAUUAGCAGUUGGCCAGUAACCAAUCACUCACCAAUUAGGAAAUAUAAUAGUCUUUUUUGCUUAUUUGGUGGUGGAUGUCUAUCUUGAGAUAGUUAGCCGUAUCUAUUCUUUCAAAAACUAUCAAAACUAAAAACAUAAUAGCUAAUGAACCUUUAAAGCUAUUAGUCAAACUAUGGUAUCUUUUUCAUGGAACUUGGAAGUUGAAUUUAGGCAAGGAUCUUUGAUCACGAUGGAUGUAAACGUAGAGGGUUUUCUUCCCACAAGCUACCGGUACCGGUCACAUUAGCAGUGAUGGAAACUGGUUUUGUUGAAAUUAUUAUGGCCCAUCCACUUUGGUCUAUAUUAAUUUAUGUUGUUGUCGAUAUUAUUAUCACUAUAGUGAUAUAUAUUUAUAUCCAUCAUGAUCAUAGGCUACUAGGAAGCAAAUAAUGAAAUGACAAGCACUCUCACCGGUCCUUUUUUAUCUGCAUAUAAGUUUUGUCCGAACUCAAAAUAUGUUUACUUUGACUGAACUUCUAGAAAAAAGUAUCAAGUUGACAAGCCAAUAAUUAGCUUUCCACUACAAGAAUAUAUUUGUAGCUCCAACAGAGGUAGUUAUACGCUCGAGAAAAGUCUCCAAAUUGCACUUAAUUAGCAGUUGGUCAGUAACCAAUCACUCACCAAUUAGGAAAUAUAAUAGUCUUUUUGCUUAUUCGGUGGUGGAUGUCUAUCUUGAGAUAGUUAGCUGUACCUAUUCUUUCUAAAACUAAAAAAAUUAAAAACAUAAUAGCUAAUGAAUCUUUAAAGCUACUAGUCAAACUAUGGUAUCUUUUUCAUGGAACUUGGACGUUGAAUUUAGGCAAGGAUCUUUGAUCACGAUGGAUGCAAACGUAGAGGGUUUUCUUCCCACGAGCUACCGGUACCGGUCAAAUUAGUAGUGAUGGAAACUGGUUUUGUUGAAGUUAUUAUGGCCCAUCCACUUUGGUCUAUACUAAUUUACGCCGUUGUCGAUAUUAUUAUCACUGUAGUGAUAUAUAUUUAUAUCCAUCAUGAUCAUAGGCUACUAGGAAGGAAAUAAUGAAAUGACAAGCACUCUCACCGGUCCUUUUUUAUCUGCAUAUAAGUUUUGUCCGAAGUCAAAAUAUCUUUACUUUGACCGAACUUCUAGAAAAAAGUAUCAACAUUCAUGAAGCCAAAUCAAUACUUUAGGUUCACUAGCACAAAUUCCCAUGCGUUGCAACGGGUGAAAAAACCACACUUUUCUAACCCAAUUGCUCAAGACCCCCCACCCCCAUUCCUCAUUCCACGAUCCACCGCUAGGCAUGAUGACAUGAACAAACUCUUUGAAAUCCUGCAUGCUGCCAUGAAAAUAUGUAUUGCAGAAAAAUAUAUGAACAUAUUUCAGAAGUGUACUAAAGGUGUGUGGAAUUUAAAUCACAUAAAUAUCUACCUGGUUGUUAGUAUCCCUUCAUCACUUUGUUGGAGUUGCUUAGUGAUGCCCAAAACAUAUCGCAUUAUACUGUAAAUAGUAAAGUUUAUUCUAGUACAAUGUUUGUGCUUCACUACGGAGGUAACACUGAUUUUCAUGAUCCAAUGUUGGCUAGGUUUAGGGACUGUGUAUAUAGCACUAUUCGUGUCCAACAAUCAAGCAAAUAUUUUUAACAUGUACUAUCUUUUUCAUCAUAUAUUUUUUAAAUAUAUUGUACAUGAACAAUAAGUAAAAAAAUUAAUUAUUAUUUAGACAUAGUUUUUCUUGCAAGUGUUAAACAAUUCUAACAUAAUUUUCUCUCCAUUUAUGGGAGGGGUAAAACUACGCGUUCGUGGGACUAUAGCUAGUGGCAUAGGAUGAAAUGUUUUUGAGGGGGGCCAGUUUUGAAUGAUUUCUAACUGGUAUACUUUUGUUCCCACAAUCUUUUUAGAGAUCAACAACUCAUUAUGGGAGAAAAGAAAUGACAAAAAAUCACGAGGCUAUUAGGACACUUUCCUUUUUAUUACGGGACGACUUCUCACUUUGCUAUUUUUCUCAAUCAAUCCCAGAAAUCCCUCCUUUUUUCUUUAUUUUCAAUUCCCGGAAUCCCUACUUUCCUUCUUUGUUCUCUCCUUCUUCCUUGUUAGGACACUUUCUUCUUAUUACGGGAUGGCUGGUUUCCCAGUUUUUUCCCGAAUCCCUAUUUUCCUUCUUAUUACGGGACACCUUCCUACUUUCCUAUUUUUCGCUUUCAGUCCCCGAAACCCCUCCUUUCCUUCUUUUUACCGGACAGGUUCCCACCUUCCUAUUUUUUUGUCAAUCACGGAAAUCCCUUCUUUCCAUCUUUAUCUUUAGGAAACAUGAGACCCACACUUCACUAUGUUCGCUAGAUG
rnacentral:lncRNA from 1 species